rnacentral:rRNA from 1 species
AUACGGAGGGUCCGAGCGUUAUCCGGAAUCAUUGGGUUUAAAGGGUCCGUAGGCGGGAAUCUAAGUCAGUGGUGAAAUCUUGCAGCUCAACUGUAAAAUUGCCAUUGAUACUGGAUUUCUUGAAUUAGUGUGAAGUGGUUAGAAUGUGUAGUGUAGCGGUGAAAUGCAUAGAUAUUACACAGAAUACCAAUUGCGAAGGCAGAUCACUAACACUAUAUUGACGCUGAGGGACGAAAGCGUGGGGAGCGAACAGGAUUAGAUACCCUUGUAGUCC